ACUUUCGCCGUGAAUUUUGGUUUUCAUUGCCUUGGUAAUGAAAUUAAAAGGGAAUCUGGUGAAAAUCCGGAACUGUUCCCGCAACUGUAAGUUUAUUUCAAACGAUUUUAUUGGCGAAUAGAAUCUGUUGGUUACUUCUUUUAGAAGGUGCUAUUUACUGCAAAGCCACUUUGUGAUCCAAACCGGUUUGGAUAUCAUGGGAAGGCAAAAUAGUAUUAAACAAGUCAGGAGACCUGCCUGGUUCAAACAAACAAUG
rnacentral:ncRNA from 2 species